CUGCAUUCUAAUAUCAAGAAUACCUUUUAUUCUUUCGCUCUCUACAAUCAUCGGUCACACAAUUUUUACGCGGAAAUAAAUUUCUAACUUUAAUAAAGCUUUAUCACUUCGUUUUCAAGGAUUGAAUAUGCAUUGAUAUACGUCGCCACCUUUGUCUAAAGUAUUGGAACCUAACACGACAGCUAUGGACGUAUCGUUGAAACUAAAACGAUAGGUUGUAGGUAUAAGCAGUGAAAGAGAAAGCUAUUAGGUGUGGUUUAAAAAGAUGUUGGAUGAGUUGUGAAAUGGAUAAGGAGUAAGGAUGUUUUAACGCAAUGGAAUAUGAGAACAUGAGAAUAAAGAGAACAUCAAAGACGUACAACUUGAACUUCCUUUAUUUAAAUGAAUCAGAG